UACUAUAGGGCGAAUUGGGCCCGACGUCGCAUGCUCCCGGCCGCCAUGGCGGCCGCGGGAAUUCGAUUACGGGGUGCAGCAGGCGCGAAAACUUGGCAAUGCGAGAAAUCGUGACCAGGGAACUCCAAGUGCAUGGGGUAAGACCCAUGCCUUUCUUGACUCUAAAUAGGUCUUGGAAUAAGGGGUGGGUAAGGACGGUGCCAGCCGCCGCGGUAAUACCGGCGCCUCAAGUGGUAGUCGCUUUUAUUGGGCCUAAAACGUCCGUAGCCGGUCUGAUACAUUCGUGGGUAAAUCAACCAGCUUAACUGGUUGAAUUCUGCGAGGACGGUCAGACUUGGGACCGGGAGAGGUGUGGGGUACGCUCAGGGUAGGGGUAAAAUCCUGUCAUCCUGAGCGGACCACCUGUUGCGAAGGCGCCACACUAGAACGGAUCCGACGGUCAGGGACGAAGCCUAGGGGCACGAACCGGGUUAGAUACCCGGGUAGUCCUAGGUGUAAACGCUGUGGACUUGAUGUUGGGGGUGCUCCGAGCACUCUCAGUGUCGAAGCGAAGGUGAUAAGUCCACUGCCUGGGAAGUACGGUCGCAAGGCUGAAA
rnacentral:rRNA from 1 species